rnacentral:rRNA from 1 species
CAGUUAGAAAUGACUGCUAAUACCGCAUAUGCCUAAGUACCACAUGGUACAAUAGGGAAAGGAGUAAUCCGCUGAUAGAUGGGCUUGCGUCUGAUUAGAUAGUUGGUGGGGUAAUGGCCUACCAAGUCGACGAUCAGUAGCCGGACUGAGAGGUUGAACGGCCACAUUGGGACUGAGAUACGGCCCAGACUCCUACGGGAGGCAGCAGUCGGGAAUAUUGCGCAAUGGAGGAAACUCUGACGCAGUGACGCCGCGUGCAGGAAGAAGGUUUUCGGAUUGUAAACUGCUUUAGACAGGGAAGAAACAAGACAGUACCUGUAGAAUAAGCUCCGGCUAACUACGUGCCAGCAGCCGCGGUAAUACGUAGGGAGCGAGCGUUAUCCGGAUUUAUUGGGUGUAAAGGGUGCGUAGACGGGAAGAUAAGUUAGUUGUGAAAUCCCUCGGCUUAACUGAGGAACUGCAACUAAAACUGUUUUUCUUGAGUACUGGAGAGGAAAGUGGAAUUCCUAGUGUAGCGGUGAAAUGCGUAGAUAUUAGGAGGAACACCAGUGGCGAAGGCGACUUUCUGGACAGAAACUGACGUUGAGGCACGAAAGUGUGGGGAGCAAACAGGAUUAGAUACCCUGGUAGUCCACACCGUAAACGAUGGAUACUAGGUGUAGGGGAUAAUAAUUCUUCUGUGCCGUCGCUAACGCAAUAAGUAUCCCACCUGGGGAGUA